rnacentral:rRNA from 1 species
UACGUAGGGGCUAGCGUUAUCCGGAAUUACUGGGCGUAAAGGGUGCGUAGGUGGUUUCUUAAGUCAGAGGUGAAAGGCUACGGCUCAACCGUAGUAGGCCUUUGAAACUGGUCGACUUGAGUGCAGAAGAGGGAAGUGGAAUUCCACGUGUAGCGGUGAAAUGCGUAGAGAUGUGGAGGAACACCAGUGGCGAAGGCGGCUUCCUGGUCUGUAACUGACACUGAGGCGCGAAAGCGUGGGGAGCAAACAGGAUUAGAUACCCUGGUAGUCCCUGAG